GACGAACCGAGCGAACGUUGUUCGGAAUCACUGGGCUUAAAGGGCGCGUAGGCGGGCAUCAUAGUCUGUGGUGAAAUCCGGCAGCUUAACUGUCGAAUUGCCAUGGAUACUGGGUGUCUCGAGGGAGGCAGGGGUGCGCGGAACUGAUGGUGGAGCGGUGAAAUGCGUUGAUAUCAUCGGGAACUCCGGUGGCGAAGGCGGCGCACUGGUCCUUUUCUGACGCUGAGGCGCGAAAGCCAGGGGAGCAAACAGG
rnacentral:rRNA from 1 species